rnacentral:lncRNA from 1 species
UUUGACUUGCGGGAGCAGUAGACAGGUUCUGACGAUUUAAAGAACUUAAAAAUGCAAAGAAAAGAAUUGGAUCAGACAAAGGACUAAUUUAAAUGGAGAAUUAAGGAAUUAAUCUAAUAAAUUAUCUAUGUAUCUAACUGCUAUAACUAGAGUAGAUUUUACCGAAAUUUCGGCAGUACCUCCCCUAAUAAUAAGACUAUCUACCUGCUAGAAUAACACAAUAAUAUUAAAUAUCUCAAUCAAUAAACACAGCCCAUCCGUCGGGCGAUCAAGCAGUCAAAUCUCCCUUCCUCCAUCCAAAAAAUAAUACUAAUAUUUAAUCAUCAAUAUAAAACUUUAAUUUUACUACAUAAAGUUAAGCAAAUAAGCACAUAGCUAAAUAGAUAAAUAGAUGAAAUUGAUAUUGGCUUGACCUUUACAUCCUACCAGUAUAACUAUCUAAAUAUAUAUAUACCUUUAAUAAUCAUAAGCAACUAUAAUUUAUAAAAUCUUUUAUUUCCUUCAUUAUUAAUUAAGAUUUCGUAUAUUCCAUUUAAUGAUCCACGAAUCACCGUCUUCACCAUAUGUGAUCAUAGCUAACGAUCCCAUUUUAAUCGUCCAUCGAAUAUAAAUAAGCCGUUAUAUGUAUUGACCAACAUGGAAACUUAAAAAUUACACUCACUUAUAUAUGUUAGUCAUUCUACAACAACUCAAGGUCUCAACAUAAUUGCUACCAAUACACAAAUUCAAAGUUCUUCUACACUAAAAUCUUGGAUUACACAUCAACUAACCAAUUUCUUGUAGAAAAAUAAACUUAGAACUCAACUGUACUAUAUCAAGCAAUAAUUUAAAAGAAUAAUUAAAAACAGUUGCUGCCAUUUCAAGAGACUUCUCAUUCCUACACAUAACUUGGUGUAAACAUGACAACCCCACUCAACCUCAUCAAGAAGCUCAAAUAAUAGUUCCCAAAUAGCAAUGUUCAAUAAAAUUUCUAAGCAAUUUACACAGGCAGUAGUGAGAAAUGCCCAUUUCUAUAUCAAAAUUACUUUAUACAUCACCUCCCAUUAAUAAAAUUUAAAGAAUUUAUAACUAUACUGAGACUGGUUAGAAGUUAAUUACCUAGUUACAAAAUAGCGUUGGAAAAAUGAAUUUUCCGAUUAAAUGACUGGAAACAGAUCUAAUUGUCCAAAAUAUGCCACUGCCGACGAUAGCUUGGCCGGAAUUUAUGAGAAUGGUGGCCGAAAAUACGCUGGUGAGGAGUUGAUAACGAAAGAGGAGAUAGUUUCGCUGGCUGGUCUUGCCACAAAGGCGAGAAGAAUGCAGACGAUGCUACUGCCCGAUCGAAACGCAACUGCAGCUCUUUGUGUUAGCUGCGUUGGCCGGAAGCGACAGGAGGGAGUGAAGGAGAGACCGGAGCUUCUUCGUCGACGGGAGAGAAGCCAACGUCACUGGAAAGUCGAGGAGCAGGAGGCUAGACGCGACUUCUCGAUCGAAGGAGGUCGCAGCUCUCCUGCGCCUUCUAUCCGCGCCAGAAACGAAAGGAAAGGAGAACGGAUGGCUACAACUGCUGCGGCGAGGAGGCGUGGCGCUGGUCUCUGGUGGUCGGAAAAAAGAGAGGAGGAGAGGGGGAGGGUGAGGCCGGCGCUGAAAAUGUGAUAGGGGAGGGUUUCUAGAAUUGUUUAGGGUUUUUUUUUUUUUGGUUUGGUUUGGUUCGCGUUGGGUUCCGUCCAAAUCAUGGUUAGCUUGGUUUUUCUAUUGGUUUGUUGAUUUUCUUUAAGUUUGAAUUGGUUUAUAAAAUUUGGUCUAGCAAUAUAAAAUGCACUUAGUUAAAUAAUUUCAUAGGGUAUUAAUUAAUGUAUUUUAAAUAUAAUAAUAUUCUAUAAUAUCAUUGGUUUAGAAUUAACAAUU